AUUUUAAAAAAAAAUCCACGAGAAGCAAAUAUCAUUAGGAGCUGCCUCAGCUGUACACAAAUUCACCACAUCGUCUCGUCGUCAAUCCAAUGUCGCAUUCCGAUCAAAUUCCAGCUAAAACUAGAGUAGUCUGCUGCAUCGGCGACGUCCAUGGAUAUAUCACCAAGCUCCAAAACUUAUGGUCCAACCUCGAGUCCUCAAUCCACCCAUCGGAUUUCAAUUCCGCCCUCAUAAUCUUCUUGGGCGAUUACUGCGACAGGGGAUCAAAUACCCGAGAAGUUAUUGAUUUCUUGGUUAAUUUACCUUCCAAAUACCCAAACCAGAAGCACGUCUUCCUCGCCGGUAAUCACGAUUUCGCUUUCGCCGCUUUCCUCGGAAUUUUGCCUCCUCCCGCCGAUGGGUCGCCGUUUUCGGAUACGUGGACGCAGUUCGAGGCGAGCGAAGAGCGAGAAGGGUGGUUCAGAGGUGAGGGGUAUGAGAAUAUGCAUGUGCAAGGGAGGAGAUGGGCGGGGAAAAUUACGGUCAAAACCAAUUUGGCUAAAGGAACUGAUUAUCAGGGUUCCAUUUAUGAUGCUGGACCAACAUUUGAGUCCUAUGGUGUUCCUCAUGGUUCUGCUGAUUUGGUCAAGGCAGUGCCUGAUGAGCACAAGAAGUUCCUUUCCAAUAUGGCUUGGGUCCAUGAAGAGGAUGAUGUCUGUUUGGACACAGAGGAUGGCAUUAAACACUAUAAAUUGAUUGCUGUCCAUGCUGGUUUGGAGAGAGGGAAAGAUGUUCAAGAGCAGCUGAAUUCUUUGAAAGCCAAAGACACCAAAGUGCCCAAGAUAGAGUGCUUAAGCGGGAGGAGAAAUGUCUGGGAUAUUCCAAAAGAACUAUCUGAGAAGCCAACAAUGGUUGUAAGUGGACACCAUGGAAAACUUCAUAUUGAUGGCUUAAGACUCAUCAUUGAUGAAGGUGGCGGACUGCAAGAUAGGCCUGUAGCUGCAGUUGUGCUUCCGCCGAUGAAAAUUGUGCGUGAUACUGAUAACAUGAAACAGUAAUCAUUGCUUUUGCUGAUGAUCAUCAGAAAGAAGGCAGGCUGGCUUAGAAGUUAAGUGUACAAUCAAGGUUCGGUGGUCCACGAAGACGUAAUCUAGAUGAAACUUAUGUACCAUUGCCAUUGAGGUCAAUUACCACACCACCUCUAUCAUACUGCAUACACACAACACUCCUUUUUGCCAGAGCUAGCCCACUCUUUUUAUGUUCGGUCGUGGGAACUACCAUUUUUUGCCUACAUCUCUUGGAAUGGGCAAAGCCUUCCGAGGAUUAAUGGAGAAGCAUAUGUAGGGAAUGGGUUCCCAAUACCUUAACAUAUGUUGGACAUAUCUAACAAUAUACUGUGUAUAUUUCAAAAUACAUGCUAUGCUAAUAUAGUAAUCCAAAUAUAGUAAUGAUUUCUUUCAGUACAACUUCAAACUAUGAACUUAUAAUUGCUAACAUAUAUUAUAUGCUAGUUGAGCUACUCAUCUUUUAUCA